AGCACCUACGGGAGGCAGCAGUGGGGAAUAUUGCACAAUGGGGGAAACCCUGAUGCAGCGACGCCGCGUGAGUGAAGAAGUAUCUCGGUACGUAAAGCUCUAUCAGCAGGGAAGAAAAAAAGUCUUUGGCUUUGGACGGUACCUGACUAAGAAGCCCCGGCUAACUACGUGCCAGCAGCCGCGGUAAUACGGAGGAUGCGAGCGUUAUCCGGAUUUAUUGGGUUUAAAGGGUGCGUAGGCGGUCCGGAAAGUCAGCGGUAAAAGCCCGGGGCUCAACCCCGGCGAGCCGUUGAAACUGUCGGACU
rnacentral:rRNA from 1 species